UUGACGCGUUGAUGGAACUGCUUUUCCACAAUGUUGUGGAAGACCCCCGUCCAUAUCAGGAGCUCCUGGACAAGAUCCCUGUACCAGAGCCACUGUGUGCCCAGUUCACCAGGCCAGAUAAGCAGGAUGCAGUUGCCAGACACAAGUCCCGCUUUUCCAAGGACAGACACAGAUGAGUUCCUGUCUAUGGAUGGGGGAUAAGAACAGGCCCAAGCCCCGUCAGCCCUACUGACAUUUCAGACUGAGCUGAGUACUUCAUGGUUGCAGUCUUCACGUGAGAUGCUGAGGACUGAUCAUCUGCUAGAGGUUGCCAUCUUUCCUCUCUGGUUACAUGAAACAUGUCUCAGACUGUCGUCCACACGCACAGGGGCCCAAUGAAGUUCCACAUCGCUCAAAAGUUCCUCAUCUUCAACCUUCAAGUCCCUCUGUUACCAAACACCUAAUUACAUUUCAAAGCUCGGUUAAAAUUUCAUCCAUAAACCUGCACUCCACAAACACCAUCAGGCUGAGGUCUAUGUUGUUAAGGACAUUGGUGUAUAUUCCCCUAUUAUCAGGGUCCCCAUGGUCAUGAAAAAGUGUAUCAUUUAAGCCCUUGCUGAUAAAAACCCUAUCCAGUAAACAUGGCAGUGUUUUGAUGCUAUCCAAGCCAAUGUUCAUAUUUAUCAUGCUUUAAUUGUAAUGUGGUGUUGUCAAGGUUUGAAAAUUGCUUGACUUUUGAAAAAAAUACUUGAGAUCUGAAUUCAAAUCUGGACAGAUAAUAAUGUAAUGGUUGUUUCAUAACAGUAUUCCUGUCACAAUAGCACUGUAUUGUUCACAGCACAAUUUGAUUUAAUGUGAUGAAGACAUAUUUAUGAAUAUAUAUAUUUAUAUACUGUAAUUUCAAUGAAAAAUUUAAAAUUUUCAAAACAUCUUUUGAUUUAUUUGUCUUUUCUAAAUUAUUUUCAUUUCCUGAAAAUAUUUAAUCUAAAACUAGUCUAAUUCCUACUGGGAGUUUCCAAUAUAACCUGUAUUGCAUUGCAGUACAUUCUGUUAUGUCAUAAUUAUAUCAUUCAGCACAAAAAAGAACUUUUGAAAUGUUGCAAUUUUAUUUUUAUUUUAAUU